rnacentral:rRNA from 1 species
UACGAGUGCCCCAAGCGUUAUCCGGAAUCAUUGGGCGUAAAGGGUGUGUAGGUGGCGAUGUUAGUCUCCUGCUAAAGCCCCGGGCUUAACCCGGGAUCUGCAGGGGAAACGGCAUUGCUUGAGGGUGCGAGGGGUGAAUGGAACUCAUGGAGUAGGGGUGAAAUCCGUUGAUAUCAUGGGGAACACCAAAAGCGAAGGCAAUUCACUGGCGCAUUCCUGACACUGAAACACGAAAGCGUGGGUAGCGAACGGG